rnacentral:rRNA from 1 species
GAUGAACGCUGGCGGCGUGCCUAAUACAUGCAAGUCGAGCGAACAGACGAGGAGCUUGCUCCUCUGACGUUAGCGGCGGACGGGUGAGUAACAUGUGGAUAACCUACCUAUAAGACUGGGAUAACUUCGGGAAACCGGAGCUAAUACCGGAUAAUAUAUUGAACCGCAUGGUUCAAUAGUGAAAGACGGUUUUGCUGUCACUUAUAGAUGGAUCCGCGCCGCAUUAGCUAGUUGGUAAGGUAACGGCUUACCAAGGCAACGAUGCGUAGCUGACCUGAGAGGAUGAUCGGCCACACUGGAACUGAGACACGGUCCAGACUCCUACGGGAGGCAGCAGUAGGGAAUCUUCCGCAAUGGGCGAAAGCCUGACGGAGCAACGCCGCGUGAGUGAUGAAGGUCUUCGGAUCGUAAAACUCUGUUAUUAGGGAAGAACAAAUGUGUAAGUAACUAUGCACGUCUUGACGGUACCUAAUCAGAAAGCCACGGCUAACUACGUG